UGGGGAAUAUUGCACAAUGGGCGCAAGCCUGAUGCAGCCAUGCCGCGUGUUUGAAGAAGGCCUUCGGGUUGUAAAGCACUUUCAGCGGGGAGGAAGGCGGUGAGGUUAAUAACCUCAUCGAUUGACGUUACCCGCAGAAGAAGCACCGGCUAACUCCGUGCCAGCAGCCGCGGUAAUACGGAGGGUGCAAGCGUUAAUCGGAAUUACUGGGCGUAAAGCGCACGCAGGCGGUUGAUUGAGUCAGAUGUGAAAUCCCCGGGCUUAACCCGGGAAUUGCAUCUGAUACUGGUCAGCUAGAGUCUUGUAGAGGGGGGUAGAAUUCCAUGUGUAGCGGUGAAAUGCGUAGAGAUGUGGAGGAAUACCGGUGGCGAAGGCGGCCCCCUGGACAAAGACUGACGCUCAGGUGCGAAAGCGUGGGGAGCAAACAGG
rnacentral:rRNA from 1 species